rnacentral:tRNA from 1 species
GUUUUUCUAGUAUAAUUAGUACACCUAACUUCCAAUUAGAAAGAUUGAUAUUUAUCAAGCAAAACA